rnacentral:rRNA from 1 species
UACGGGGGGGGGCAAGCGUUGUUCGGAAUUACUGGGCGUAAAGAGCUCGUAGGCGGUUCGGUAAGUCAGGUGUGAAACCUCCAGGCUCAACCUGGAGACGCCACCUGAUACUGCUGUGACUCGAGUCCGGUAGGGGGAGCGUGGAAUUCCUGGUGUAGCGGUGAAAUGCGCAGAUAUCAGGAGGAACACCAGCGGCGAAGGCGGCGCUCUGGGCCGGAACUGACGCUGAGGAGCGAAAGCGUGGGUAGCAAACAGG